GACGGGGGGUGGAAGCGUUAUCCGGAAUCACUGGGCGUAAAGCGUCUGUAGGUGGUGAUGCAAGUCACUGGUGCAAAACUCUGGCUCAACCGGAGGAAAGCCAGUGAAACUGCAUGACUAGAGUGUGGGAGAGGUAGAAGGAAUUCCCUGAGUAGCGGUGAAAUGCGUAGAUACAGGGAAGAACACCGGAGGCGAAAGCGUUCUACUGGAACACAACUGACACUGAGAGACGAAAGCUAGGGGAGCGAAUGUG
rnacentral:rRNA from 1 species